rnacentral:rRNA from 1 species
GACGAACGCUGGCGGCGUGCUUAACACAUGCAAGUCGAACGGAAAGGCCCUGGUUUUGUGGGGUGCUCGAGUGGCGAACGGGUGAGUAACACGUGAGUAACCUGCCCGUGACUUUGGGAUAACUUCAGGAAACUGGGGCUAAUACCGGAUAGGAGCUCCUGCUGCAUGGUGGGGGUUGGAAAGUUUCGGCGGUUGGGGAUGGACUCGCGGCUUAUCAGCUUGUUGGUGGGGUAGUGGCUUACCAAGGCUUUGACGGGGAGCCGGCCUGAGAGGGUGAACGGCCACAUUGGGACUGAGGUACGGCCCAGACUCCUACGGGAGGCAGCAGUGGGGAAUAUUGCCCAAUGGGCGGAAGCCUGAUGCAGCAACGCCGCGUGCGGGAUGACGGCCUUCGGGUUGUAAACCGCUUUCGCCUGUGACGAAGCGUGAGUGACGGUAAUGGGUAAAGAAGCACCGGCUAACUACGUG